rnacentral:tRNA from 1 species
GGCUCGUUGGUCUAGGGGUAUGAUUCUCGCUUUGAGUGCGAGAGGUCCCGGGUUCAAAUCCCGUAUGAGCGCA